GAAUUCCUGCCCGAUACGCGAAUGAUUUUAAAAUAACCCUACAACAUUUAAAUCGGGAGCUUAGCUCCAUUGAACGGUGUGCAGACCUCCCGUUUUCUCGGAAGAAGGGAGCCUGAAGUUCAAGGGCGGGCACCCACCUGUCACUCAAGUAGGCAGGUUAUUGCAAAAAUCAUACGGUCGGGCGGGUUUUUU
rfam:Ruminococcus sp. CAG:108 genomic scaffold, scf339